GAUGAACGCUGGCGGCGUGCCUAAUACAUGCAAGUCGAGCGAACAGAUAAGGAGCUUGCUCCUUUGACGUUAGCGGCGGACGGGUGAGUAACACGUGGGUAACCUACCUAUAAGACUGGGAUAACUUCGGGAAACCGGAGCUAAUACCGGAUAACAUUUGGAACCGCAUGGUUCUAAAGUGAAAGAUGGUUUUGCUAUCACUUAUAGAUGGUCCCGCGCCGUAUUAGCUAGUUGGUAACGUAACGGCUUACCAAGGCGACGAUACGUAGCCGACCUGAGAGGGUGAUCUGCCACACUGGAUCUGAGACACGGUCCGAACUCCUAGAAGAGGCAGAAGUAGGGAAUCUUCAACAAUGAGCGAAAGCCUGAUGGGACACCGCCGCGUGAGUUAUGAAGGCUUGCGGCAAGUAAAGCUGUGUUAUUGGGGAAGAACAAGCGUGUAAGUAGCUGUGCACGUCUUGACGGUACCUAAUCAGAAAGCCACGGCUAACUACGUG
rnacentral:rRNA from 1 species